rnacentral:lncRNA from 1 species
UGUCAAGGAACAAGAUCAUGGUCUCAUCAUUUAGGGUUUGUCGACACCGAGGCAUCCUAAAAGCUAAGAUUUUAUCAUUUAGAGUUUGUCGACGCCGAGGCACCCUAAAAGCCUAAGCUUUCAUCAUUUAGGUUUUUAUCGACACCGAGGCACCCUAAAAGCCAAGGUUUUAUAAUGUAGGGUUUGUCGACGCUGAGGCACCCUAAAUGCUAAGUUAAGUUUUCAUAAUUUAGGGUUUAUCGAUGCUGAGGCACCCUAGGUUGACUGAUAUAUAUGGGUAUCUUCUAAUAAUAUACCC